CAAAAAAAGAGGCCAAAUCAGCAGUUGCAGUUCCCCUUUAAGGCUGACAUGUUUGAGAGCACAUAGAAAAUGGACUUAGUGCUUUAUGACUAAGUUUUUGCGAAAAUUUGGCCACCUGCCUUCUGUCUGCUUCGCUUCCUGUGCCCCUUUGUUUCUUUGGUAUAGUUUGUAUGUUUUUCUAAUGAUUUUAAGUAGCAUGGUUAUUAAGUUAAAAGUAAAGAGGAAAUGGUAUAUGGAAAUUAAGCAUUCUAACUGAAUUGUGAAAAUGUUAACUUGAUUACUGAAACAGUGACUUGAAAACGAAGACAUGAAAAUAAAUGUUGAAAACUGUCCUGUUAGUUGUUUGCCUCUGCUUCACUCUGCUUGCUCAACCCAGUCCCUAUAAAACCUGUCACUUUUCUACCUUCUGACACUUGGCGUAACAAGUGCAGGGUCUGGGCCAUUGAGUGGGCAGUUGUGGGGCAGGGGCCAGUUUUGUUUUCCUUUUACGGUCUUGUGUUUCUGUGUCCUCUCAGGUUCUGCAGUCUCUCCCGUGGUUGUCUGGGCGCAGCUGGGGCAGAAGAGGAAGCCACCCCUGCUGGUCUAUGAGACUUUGUGCGACCUAACCGGCCUGGCGUGUUAAGGUGCCCUAUAAGUGAAGACUGAGCAGCUCUGUGGACAUGGCUGAAGGAUGUGUGUGGUCUGAUGAAGCUGAGGGGGAAGUUCCAGCUAAGAGGACAGGAUAACACUGCCAUGGGGGCCCGCAGAGAGCUGGAUGGAAUGGUCCACUCAAAGUGGGUGAGCGAUGGGGCUGAAGCGACCAAGAUGGGGCCAUCUGAUGCCCCAGGUCUACCAGGAGAGAGGAAACAGUGGAUGGAGACGACAACAAGAAUGGCCCUGGCUGCCCUAGGACACCAUGUGGGAGAGCUGCUAGCUUGAAGUGUUUUCACUCACUCUGCGAGGAAACUCUCAUUUUAAAGUGGGUGAGAAUGUCACAGGAGUCACUACUUUACAUGUGUAACAAUCAAGCAUUCCUAUUGGAUGGUUAACGUAUCAAGUGAUUGAAUUGUGUAUUUAAAUCCCCCUUCCCCACAGGAAGGGGUGUAGUCCAGAGGCAUGGUGGAUCCUUGUUGCAACAGAGCGUAUGACCUGCCAUUGGCAUUAAACAAAGCCUGUGUGUACAUGCAUGCUGAUGAUUCAACCAUAUAUGUGUUAGCAACCACAGCUAAUGAAGUCACUGAAAUUCUUAACAAGGAGUUGCAGUCAGUUUUGGAAUGGGUGUCGAGUAAUAAACUGGUCCUGAACAUCCCUAAAACUAAGAGCAUUUUAUUUGGUACAAAUCAUUCCUAGCAAACCUAGUUUAAAACAAACAGAAAGCAAUUCCUCUCCCCCUUUUGACCUAGAAAUCGUGUGUAUGUAUUGAUAUAUAGGCUAUGUGUGCCGUUUUUAAAUGUAUGUAGUUCUGUCAUUGAGCUGUUUUUGUCAAUUAAUGUUCUGUAUAAUGCUAUGUUUUGUGUGGACCCCAGGAAGAGUAGCUGCUGCUUCCGCAACAGGUAAUGCUUCAAUCAACUCUGCCUCACGCCCCACCACUACAGAGUUUAGUUAGCUUCUUAGUUAGCUGUAAAAGGUGUUAGUGUUAUUAGCCUAUUUAGCGCUAACCAGCUAAUCUGCCAAUGCCACAAUGGAUAUCGGAAAUCAAACCAUCAAAGAUGCCUCCAAGCCCAGCAGCAAUGAUGGUGCUGAGCUCCAAAGCCCCCCCCCAUUCACAUAUGCCGCCAGGAUAAUGGCUCCACAGUCCCCUCCACCCCUGACUGUUCCUGACAAUCUUGGAAGAGGAGCCAGCCCAGAUUAGCCUAGAAUCCUACCAUAACAACAUGUUUUCUGUCCAGAAACAUUAAUUUAAUAUCAACUGCUUCAUAGGAGGAGAGUGGCUGGAAUACUCAGUUACUGCAGAUGCUGUAUUUUUGUUCCAAUGUCAAAAGUUCUGUAUUGGGUCCAUUGCUAAUGCAGACAAGGCCUUCACCCAAAGCGGGUAUUCUAACUAGAAGCAUGCUUUUGAUGAAACCAAGGGAUUCGCUAGGCACGCAUCAAGCAUGGUGCAUGGAGCAUUUGAAAUGCACUGCACUGUGGAAAGAAAAACUAAUUGUAUUCAGUUGCAUUCACAUAGGCUGUUUGUAAUAGGUGAAUUACCCCAUCUAUCUUGUAGCCUAUAUUCAUUGGCAAAUAGGCCUUGCUUUACUGUGUAAGGCGCUGUCCAUUGUGCUGAUACAGUGCAGCGGAGAUGGGUUUAUAGAUUUCGCGCCAACCUGUCACUUCAAAAGCACUCAAUGGUCUCAGAGUUUUGGCAUUUUAACUUUGUUUGUGGUAUAGCGUGAUAUAAUCAGAAUUCAAUAUAUUUCCAAUGCAAGAACCCCCCCCCCCCCAAAAGUGUGUCCCCUCACAGAUUUCAACUGUCCCCUUAGUCACUUUAACUUGCCGCAGGGUCUGUGCUGUAUGACUGGGAGAAUCUCAAUGCCCUUUUCUGAAAUAGAUUUGGUCAACUCCUGCAUCCUCUCUCCCGUCCUCUCUAACCUCCUUUUGAAAAAGGUCAAAAAGGUAAUUGAGGAGGCCGCUAGGAGAGGGAUCGUGGACGAAGAUGCGGUUGUUUGAAAUCAGACUCUCCUUUUCCAAUCGCGUGUCAUAAAUGUAUAAAGUGAUAGUUGUGCAAGACAUUUUAUAGAUAAAAGGAUCAUUAGCAUAUUGUUUUUAAAUGGUUGCGUGCUUUUCUACUUCGAGUAAACAAUAGCUGACUCAAAGUGUAAAAAGAUUUCCAAUCUCUUCCGCGAAGGACUCAGGGUUGUGCUUCCUUGCCAAUAGCAGGCUAUCGAGGAGGGGACCGUGUUCUGUUUUUCCACUAAUGAACUGAAACAUUCCUCGGCCACUUAUCGGUUUCCGGCUCACUGAGGAGUUUGCCCAAAGGAGAACUCCAAUUGCAUACUCAUGUCCUCUCUCCUCACCUCCUUCUCAAAAGAGAAAAAGGGUAUACAGAAAUGAAGCAUUCUAAGUGAAUUGUGAAAACGAGUUGAGAAUGUUGAAACUUGAUUACAGAAACGAAACCAUGUCUUAUGAAAAUAAAUGUAGAAAACUGUC
ensembl:lncRNA